rnacentral:rRNA from 1 species
GACGAACGCUGGCGGCGUGCUUAACACAUGCAAGUCGAACGCUGAAGCUCAGCUUUUGUUGGGUGGAUGAGUGGCGAACGGGUGAGUAACACGUGAGUAACCUGCCCCCUUCUUUGGGAUAACGCCCGGAAACGGGUGCUAAUACUGGAUAUUCACUGGUCUUCGCAUGGGGGUUGGUGGAAAGGGUUUUUCUGGUGGGGGAUGGGCUCGCGGCCUAUCAGCUUGUUGGUGGGGUGAUGGCCUACCAAGGCUUUGACGGGUAGCCGGCCUGAGAGGGUGACCGGUCACAUUGGGACUGAGAUACGGCCCAGACUCCUACGGGAGGCAGCAGUGGGGAAUAUUGCACAAUGGGCGCAAGCCUGAUGCAGCGACGCCGCGGGAGGGAUGGAGGCCUUCGGGUUGUGAACCCCUUUCGCUCAUGGUCAAGCCGCAACAAUGGUUGUGGUGAGGGUAGUGGGUAAAGAAGCGCCGGCUAACUACGUG